rnacentral:rRNA from 1 species
AACCAAACCUAGCCCCAACAAACAUACAUAUAAUAACAUAUAAACAUAAAAUAAAACAUUUAACAAUAAAAGUAUAUGAGAUAGAAAUAUUACCAAGGGCGCUAUAGAAAAAGUACCGUAAGGGAAAGAUGAAAGAUUGUUCACAGUAAAAAAUAGCAGAGAUUAAACCUCCUACCUUUUGCAUAAUGGGCUAACUAGAAAUUCUUUGACAAAGAGACCUGAAGUCAAAACCCCCGAAACCAGACGAGCUACUUAUGAACAAUUAUUAGAAUGAACUYGUCUAUGUAGCAAAAUAGUGAGAUGAUUUGUAAGUAGAGGUGAAAAGCCAAACGAGCCUGGAGAUAGCUGGUUGUCCAAAAAAAGAAUCUAAGUUCAACCUAAAUCUAUGCCAACCUAAACCAAAAAUUAUUAUGCAAGAUUUAAAGUUAUUCAAUAGAGGUACAGCUCUAUUGAAAAUAGGACUCAACCUUACAAGGAGAGUAAGAAUAAUUACUAACCAUAGUUGGCCUAAAAGCAGCCAUCAAUUAAGAAAGCGUUAAAGCUCAAUCAAAAUUUCAUUAAUAAUACCUUUAAUAUAUACUAACUCCCUUAUACUAUAUUGGACUAUUCUAUAAAUUUAUAGAAGUAAUAAUGUUAGCAUGAGUAACAAGAACUAUUUCUCCGCGCAUGAGCUUAUAUCAGAACGAAUACUCACUGAUAGUUAACAGCCAAAUAACUAAAAACCCAAUAUAAAUCAUUUAUUAACUCUACUGUUAAUCCAACACAGGAAUGCGGCCCGGAAAGAUUAAAAGAAGUAGAAGGAACUCGGCAAACACGAACCUCGCCUGUUUACCAAAAACAUCACCUCUAGCAUUACUAGUAUUAGAGGCACUGCCUGCCCAGUGACACUAGUUAAACGGCCGCGGUACUCUGACCGUGCAAAGGUAGCAUAAUCAUUUGUUCUCUAAUUAAGGACUUGUAUGAACGGCUAGACGAGGGUUCAACUGUCUCCUACUUCCAAUCAGUGAAAUUGACCUUCCCGUGAAGAGGCGGGAAUAACUAUAUAAGACGAGAAGACCCUAUGGAGCUUAAAUUUAUUUACCUACCAGCUGCUAUCACAACCCUACUAGGAUCAACAUAACAACUAACUAGGUAAAAAAUUUCGGUUGGGGUGACCUCGGAGCAUAAAAAACCCUCCGAAUGACAUUCUAUCAUGAUCUACCAAUCUACAUCCUAGUCAAAUUGACCCAAUAUAAUUGAUCAACGGAACAAGUUACCCUAGGGAUAACAGCGCAAUUCUAUUCGAGAGUUCAUAUCGACAAUAGAGUUUACGACCUCGAUGUUGGAUCAGGACACCCCAAUGGUGCAGAAGCUAUUAAAGGUUCGUUUGUUCAACGAUUAAAGUCCUACGUGAUCUGAGUUCAGACCGGAGCAAUCCAGGUCGGUUUCUAUCUAUACCCAAUUUCUCCCAGUACGAAAGGACAAGAGAAAUAGGGCCAACUCCACAUGAGAGCCCUAACUAAAUCUAUGAAAUAAUCUUAAUUAAUAUAACUAGACCAAACUUAACCCUAGAACAGGGUAU